AUCUGAGUGUGAAUGUUUUCUCUUGCCAAGAGGUAGGGUUGAACAGCAAGUACACAAAUUGGCAGCCAGUGGGUGCAUCUGAGAGGUUUUGGAGGUGUUCCUAGGUGGAGAUGUUUGCAUAUGCGUCAUGGCAACCAAUGCAGGUGAGCUGCAGGAGGGAGAGUAUACGAAGUUUUCUUCCUGACCCGGAUGCAGACCGUAAAUGACACGUGAGAGACGCUGAGCUCCCAGACAGAUUCACAAAGAGCCUCAGCCUAGGUUGCAGAAAGGUAAAGAAUUUUGUUUUCAGAAAACUAGGCUAAGGAUCUUGGAGAGAAAGUUGGGUCGUAUGCUAACUGAGAAGAGUCACAGGAUUAAACGAUGCAGUGUAUCCGUAGAGGCAGAAGUGGAGCAAUGAGCAGUGACCUGGAGAAGAAGUAUCACGGGAUGAAUGCCAUAAUUAAAGGUCCAAGUCCGUACCAGGUCUUCCAUGCGGAGUGUGGGGACAACCAGAGUCAGAGAGUCAAAGGUUUCCUCGAGUACUUGCCAAUCUGAUGCGACUAAUUCUAUGGAAGCUUGUCAGAAGUCGUCAUUGUUUCAGUUUGCAGAGGAGCGCACAAAAGUUUGGAGACCACUGCUCUAUAAGUCUGUAAAAGAUCUAGCUCUCCAGUGUCCACUACACAUCCGAUGACAUCAAGUAAUCCCUCUUUACU